UUGAGGACAGGAGCCCAGGCGUGGGGACAUGGUGGGAAUCGCUGUGUGCACUUGCAGCCCGGUGGCAUGGCUCUGUAAGGCGGGUGGGGAGUGGCCACAGGAAGAACCCAACCCCGAUGUGGAGAAUCCAGGAUGGCUUCUGCCACUUUUGAGCCAUGCAACUGUUGGUGAGCCCCUUCGUGCCCUUGAACCUCAGUCUCCACCUGUGAGUAAUGGGAGUGAUGACAGCAUCUGGUCACCUCCCCACAGCGGGGAGAAGAGACCCAGGCCCAGGUGAAGUGGGGGAACAGCAGGAUUGAGGAGAAGCCAGCCUGAGGCCACAAGCAAUGAAAUGCCGUAGCCAGAAGCCAAGAGCUCAGAGGUCAAAGCCAUCCAGCACUGGGUUUGCUUGCAGCAGCUGAGAUGGAGGAAAGGAGCCCCGGGAGCUCUGGCCUUGCAGGGAGGACUGGGUUCCUGAGGGGAGGGUGAGCUAUGGUGUCUGCUAAGCGGAGGAGUGUCUACCUCCCACUCAGCUUCCCCAUGGAUGUGCAGGACACUGUCUUCAUUUGAGAGUCAAAAUACAUUGGCAUAGGAGCCUUGCCCAUUA